AUUGAACGCUGGCGUCAGGCCUAACACAUGCAAGUCGAGCGAGCUGCGGACGGGUGAGUAAUGUAUGGGGACUGUCCGAUAGAGGGGGAUAACUACUGGAAACGGUGGCUAAUACCGCAUAUUGUCGGAUAACCCAUAUGGGAUUAGCUAGUGGGUAAGGUAAUGGCUUACCUAGGCGACUAUCCAUAGCUGGUCUGAGAGGAUGAUCAGCCACACUGGGACGGAGACACGGCCCAGACUCCUACGGAGGCAGCAGUGGGGAAGAAUGCACAAUGGGCGCAAGCCUGAUGCAGCCAUGCCGCGUGUAUGAAGAAGGCCCUAGGGUUGUAAAGUACUUUCAGUCGGGAGGCGUUACCGACAGAAGAAGCACCGGCUAACUCCGUGCCAGCAGCCGCGGUAAUAC
rnacentral:rRNA from 1 species